UGUGACUGGACUCAACAAAAACAAAAUUUAAAAUUCUGUAAAUCUUAAGUGAUGCAUGUUGUUACCCUAAACACUUCUCACGCAUACAUCAUGUUACGGCCCCUGGCCUAUGGAGGCUGUGCAGGAGGCUUGUUAUGCAAAUCCACUGUGAUGUAACAUCUACCUGAUUGGCUGUAAGGAGGCUGCAGAGAAGCUGCCAGCUCAUUGGACCAGAGGACUACCAUGCCAAUCUGACUGCUGAUGAGACCCACCUGCAGCAGUAUAAAAGACUCCAGCACUCAUUCCUUCUUUGGGGACAGCUAGUAGGAAGUGGCUUUAGUUAAGCUGUUCCCCCACCUUUGGUGUUUGUGAUUGUUUUGGGCUCAUUUUGAAUUAGUUGUGCUUCCUAGUUUGGUUGAACAUGUAGUAAUUUAAUUUACCCUAAGCACUGUUAAGAUUAUGUGACCUUUAUUUUGUGUUAAACUGGGUUGUAUUGUUUUGUGUUUGUUAAAACCCAUUCUUUUUGUAAUGAAUCACCUUUUUAUUAUACUACUUUUCUCUAGACACUUUUAUGUUACCUCCCCUGGACCCCUAGACCUUUGGGGUCGUAACAAUAACUUUAGACUUUCCUUUUUUUUCUCACCACUUAAAACUAAGAGACCCCAUUUACCAACUAUUUCUGUGGCACUUCAGGUCUCAAUUCUGGAUUGACCUCAUGAAUGACUUGAGGGAGAGACAUCUCUUCAGUGGCAGUCGGGAGCACACAUGUCUUAUCCGGUUCGUGUUCCUAGGUGUGCUACAGAGGGACCUUGAUGAAUGCAGGGAAAGUGGAACACGCAUUCCAUCAGACCUGUUAACCAGUCUCACUGUCCAUCUGGUCAACCAGAUGUCAUGUACAACCUGCCUCACAGGUUGUUUGGAAUUGACUGUGGGUUCCCAGUCACACAGGAGGAAUUGGGCCAGUUUGCUUUUGAGUCAACCUACAGUCAAUGUGGAGAUGACCAUCUUCAGGCACACUUUGAAGAUCUACAGAGUGGUGUGCUGCAUCCCUUGACUUGGGAGUCCUGUGUGGAAAAUUAUAUCAGACUCAAGAACAUGGCUGAUAUGUAAUGGAAUGUUCUGCUGACUGGGAAGCGAGAAGUCGACUGAAAAAUCAGUUUGGUUCGUGGCUGAAUUCCAGAGGGAGGCAAUGUGUUUAAUCCUGUGGCAAACAUCAAGAUAUCAUGGUGGAAGAGUCCUGUUGGUUUAUCUA